GACGAACGCUGGCGGCGUGCCUAAUACAUGCAAGUCGAGCGAGACUCUUCGGAGUCUAGCGGCGGACGGGUGAGUAACACGUGGGCAACCUGCCUGUAAGACUGGGAUAACACCGGGAAACCGGUGCUAAUACCGGAUAAUCCUUUUCCUCUCAUGAGGAAAAGCUGAAAGUCGGUUUCGGCUGACACUUACAGAUGGGCCCGCGGCGCAUUAGCUAGUUGGUGGGGUAACGGCUCACCAAGGCGACGAUGCGUAGCCGACCUGAGAGGGUGAUCGGCCACACUGGGACUGAGACACGGCCCAGACUCCUACGGGAGGCAGCAGUAGGGAAUCUUCCACAAUGGACGAAAGUCUGAUGGAGCAACGCUGCGUGAGCGAUGAAGGCCUUCGGGUCGUAAAGCUCUGUUGUUAGGGAAGAACAAGUACCGGAGUAACUGCCGGUACCUUGACGGUACCUAACCAGAAAGCCACGGCUAACUACGUGCCAGCAGCCGCCGUAACAC
rnacentral:rRNA from 1 species